AAAUUGAAGAGUUUGAUCAUGGCUCAGAUUGAACGCUGGCGGCAGGCCUAACACAUGCAAGUCGAGCGGUAGCACAGGAGAGCUUGCUCUCUGGGUGACGAGCGGCGGACGGGUGAGUAAUGUCUGGGAAACUGCCUGAUGGAGGGGGAUAACUACUGGAAACGGUAGCUAAUACCGCAUAACGUCUACGGACCAAAGUGGGGGACCUUCGGGCCUCACGCCAUCAGAUGUGCCCAGAUGGGAUUAGCUAGUAGGUGGGGUAAUGGCUCACCUAGGCGACGAUCCCUAGCUGGUCUGAGAGGAUGACCAGCCACACUGGAACUGAGACACGGUCCAGACUCCUACGGGAGGCAGCAGUGGGGAAUAUUGCACAAUGGGCGCAAGCCUGAUGCAGCCAUGCCGCGUGUGUGAAGAAGGCCUUAGGGUUGUAAAGCACUUUCAGCGAGGAGGAAGGGCAAUGUGUUAAUAGCACAUUGCAUUGACGUUACUCGCAGAAGAAGCACCGGCUAACUCCGUGCCAGCAGCCGCGGUAAUACGGAGGGUGCAAGCGUUAAUCGGAAUUACUGGGCGUAAAGCGCACGCAGGCGGUUUGUUAAGUCAGAUGUGAAAUCCCCGCGCUUAACGUGGGAACUGCAUUUGAAACUGGCAAGCUAGAGUCUUGUAGAGGGGGUAGAAUUCCAGGUGUAGCGGUGAAAUGCGUAGAGAUCUGGAGGAAUACCGGUGGCGAAGGCGGCCCCUGGACAAAGACUGACGCUCAGGUGCGAAAGCGUGGGGAGCAAACAGGAUUAGAUACCCUGGUAGUCCACGCUGUAAACGAUGUCGAUUUGGAGGUUGUGCCCUUGAGGCGUGGCUUCCGGAGCUAACGCGUUAAAUCGACCGCCUGGGGAGUACGGCCGCAAGGUUAAAACUCAAAUGAAUUGACGGGGGCCCGCACAAGCGGUGGAGCAUGUGGUUUAAUUCGAUGCAACGCGAAGAACCUUACCUACUCUUGACAUCCAGAGAAUUCGCUAGAGAUAGCUUAGUGCCUUCGGGAACUCUGAGACAGGUGCUGCAUGGCUGUCGUCAGCUCGUGUUGUGAAAUGUUGGGUUAAGUCCCGCAACGAGCGCAACCCUUAUCCUUUGUUGCCAGCGAUUCGGUCGGGAACUCAAAGGAGACUGCCGGUGAUAAACCGGAGGAAGGUGGGGAUGACGUCAAGUCAUCAUGGCCCUUACGAGUAGGGCUACACACGUGCUACAAUGGCGUAUACAAAGAGAAGCGAACUCGCGAGAGCAAGCGGACCUCAUAAAGUACGUCGUAGUCCGGAUUGGAGUCUGCAACUCGACUCCAUGAAGUCGGAAUCGCUAGUAAUCGUAGAUCAGAAUGCUACGGUGAAUACGUUCCCGGGCCUUGUACACACCGCCCGUCACACCAUGGGAGUGGGUUGCAAAAGAAGUAGGUAGCUUAACCUUCGGGAGGGCGCUUACCACUUUGUGAUUCAUGACUGGGGUGAAGUCGUAACAAGGUAACCGUAGGGGAACCUGCGGUUGGAUCACCUCCUUA
rnacentral:rRNA from 1 species